rnacentral:rRNA from 1 species
UUUUUAACUUAGGUUUGGGUGGCGGACGGGUGAGUAACGCGUAAAGAACUUGCCUCACAGCUAGGGACAACAUUUAGAAAUGAAUGCUAAUACCUAAUAUUAUGAUAAUAGGGCAUCCUAUAAUUAUGAAAGCUAUAUGCGCUGUGAGAGAGCUUUGCGUCCCAUUAGCUAGUUGGAGAGGUAACGGCUCACCAAGGCGAUGAUGGGUAGCCGGCCUGAGAGGGUGAUCGGCCACAAGGGGACUGAGACACGGCCCUUACUCCUACGGGAGGCAGCAGUGGGGAAUAUUGGACAAUGGACCGAGAGUCUGAUCCAGCAAUUCUGUGUGCACGAUGAAGUUUUUCGGAAUGUAAAGUGCUUUCAGUUGGGAAGAAAGAAAUGACGGUACCAACAGAAGAAGUGACGGCUAAAUACGUGCCAGCAGCCGCGGUAAUACGUAUGUCACGAGCGUUAUCCGGAUUUAUUGGGCGUGAAGCGCGUCUAGGUGGUUAUAUAAGUCUGAUGUGAAAAUGCAGGGCUCAACUCUGUAUUGCGUUGGAAACUGUAUAACUAGAGUACUGGAGAGGUAAGCGGAACUACAAGUGUAGAGGUGAAUUCGUAGAUAUUUGUAGGAAUGCCGAUGGGGAAGCCAGCUUACUGGACAGAUACUGACGCUGAAGCGCGAAAGCGUGGGUAGCAAACAGGAUUAGAUACCCUGGUAGUCCACGCUGUAAACGAUGAUUACUAGGUGUUGGGGGUCGAACCUCAGCG